rnacentral:rRNA from 1 species
CAGUAGCCGCGGUAAUACGAGGGGGGCAAGCGUUGUUCGGAAUUAUUGGGCGUAAAGGGUGCGUAGGCGGUUUGAUAAGUCUGAUGUGAAAGCCCCCGGCUCAACCGGGGAGGGUCAUUGGAAACUGGGAAACUUGAGUGCAGAAGAGGAGAGUGGAAUUCCACGUGUAGCGGUGAAAUGCGUAGAGAUGUGGAGGAACACCAGUGGCGAAGGCGACUCUCUGGUCUGUAACUGACGCUGAGGAGCGAAAGCGUGGGGAGCGAACAGGAUUAGAUACCCGCGUAGUCCCUGUCUCUUAUAC